UCCAGCAGAGAUAAGAAAAACAGGAAAAGAGAAGAAGUAGAGAAAAAAAGAAGAAAGAAAGGAAAGGAGAGAAGGAAAGAAAAAGAGGAAAAGAAAGAGAGCAAGGGAAGUUCUGAACUUCAUUUGCAUGGAGAAUCAAUCAAUUUUGCAUAGAAAAUGAGAGCUUAUGGAGAAAUUAUUUUUAUGAGCAUCCUUAAUUAUUGGAUCAUUCUCAAAUAAGGUAUACAUUAUUUUUAUGAAUUUUUGAAGUUUAUUAGCUUAUUUUAGAUUUUUAGUUUUAUUGAAGUUUAAUAAAUUCAAAAAUAUGCUUUUGGAUAUUUGAGUGCUAGAAAUAUAUAAAAAGAGAAUUUUUUUAUUGGUAAA